rnacentral:tRNA from 1 species
UCCAAAGGAUAACAGC